rnacentral:rRNA from 1 species
GGCGAACGCUGGCGGCGUGCCUAAUACAUGCAAGUCGAGCGGACCGGAUUGGGGCUUGCCUUGAUUCGGUCAGCGGCGGACGGGUGAGUAACACGUGGGCAACCUGCCCGCAAGACCGGGAUAACUCCGGGAAACCGGAGCUAAUACCGGAUAACACCGAAGACCGCAUGGUCUUCGGUUGAAAGGCGGCCUUUGGGCUGUCACUUGCGGAUGGGACCGCGGCGCAUUAGCUAGUUGGUGAGGUAACGGCUCACCAAGGCGACGAUGCGUAGCCGGCCUGAGAGGGUGACCGGCCACACUGGGACUGAGACACGGCCCAGACUCCUACGGGAGGCAGCAGUAGGGAAUCUUCCGCAAUGGGCGAAAGCCUGACGGAGCGACGCCGCGGAAGCGAAGAAGGCCUUCGGGUCGUAAAGCUCUGUUGUGAGGGACGAAGGAGCGUCGUUCGAAGAGGGCGGCGCGGUGACGGUACCUCACGAGAAAGCCCCGGCUAACUACGUG